GUUAGGCUGACUGAUGAUUAUAAACAUGCCCACCAGCUUAGGCUCCAGUGCUGUACCCAGUUCUGCUGUGCUACUUAGGACCGCAGCCAGAUGACACCUGACCAUCUUCAAUUACUACCUAAGCCCCUCCUCUUCCAGGGUUGCAGGUGCAUGCCAGCUUGAUGUACCUAAUGUGACUGGAGUGUAUACAAUGUGGUCCUCAGGCACCAACUCUCCUUCAGGAAAAUACCCCAUGUGCCCUCAUUUUGAGGUUGUUUUGGUUGUACAAUGCCUGCUUUGUCAAUUAUGAUGACUGCAAUUCAAAGAUGCGCUGGAGACAGAAAUCAUACUUUGGAUAUUCCUUCAUGCUGUCCUGAGCUACAUUUGCAGGAAUCUGUUAAAAGGUUGGAUUCUAGGUACUAGCAAGUGAUGAAUUCUCUUGUAGUGCAAUUGCUUGCAGAGAACAGGUAGUACUGUGCACAAUGGUGCAUUUUUUGAAGUGUGAUGAACAAAAGCUGCAAAAUAUAAUUGAUUUUGCUGGUGUGCUACAG